rnacentral:rRNA from 1 species
AUUGAACGCUGGCGGCAGGCCUAACACAUGCAAGUCGAGCGGAUGAAGGGAGCUUGCUCCUGGAUUCAGCGGCGGACGGGUGAGUAAUGCCUAUGAAUCUGCCUGGUAGUGGGGGAUAACGUCCGGAAACGGGCGCUAAUACCGCAUACGUCGUGAUGGAGAAAGUGGGGGAUCUUCGGACCUCACGCUAUCAGAUGAGUCUAGGUCGGAUUAGCUAGUUGGUGGGGUAAAGGCCUACCAAGGCGACGAUCCGUAACUGGUCUGAGAGGAUGAUCAGUCACACUGGAACUGAGACACGGUCAAGACUCCUACGGGAGGCAGCAGUGGGGAAUAUUGGACAGUGGGCGAAAGCCUGAUCCAGCCAUGCCGCGUGUGUGAAGAAGGUCUUCGGAUUGUAAAGCACUUUAAGUUGGGAGGAAGGGCAGUAAGUUAAUACCUUGCUGUUUUGACGUUACCAACAGAAUAAGCACCGGCUAACUUCGUG